UACGGGGGGAGCAAGCGUUGUUCGGAUUUACUGGGCGUAAAGGGCGCGUAGGCGGCCACUGCAAGUCGGUUGUGAAAUCUCCGGGCUUAACCCGGAAAGGUCAAUCGAUACUGCAGGGCUAGAGUGCAGAAGGGGCAACUGGAAUUCUCGGUGUAGCGGUGAAAUGCGUUGAUAUUAUGGGGAACACCAAAAGCGAAGGCAGCAGACUGGAGCAUUACUGACACUGAAACACGAAAGCGUGGGUAGCGAAUGGG
rnacentral:rRNA from 1 species